rnacentral:rRNA from 1 species
AUGUCUUCGAGCGACUCUGACGAAGGCGCAUGGCUGGGCGGCGUCUGGCCGUUGAGCCUCACCAUCCGCGACACGGAGGACCUCGCCCGGUUCUGCCUGAUGGUGCCGCCGGCUUCGAAGGUGCCGGGGCCAUGGCGGAUCGGCGCAGACGACGUCCCCACACGCGGCCCGCCGCCGACGGCGGAGCAGCUCCACGCCUUCCCUGGCGCCCGGUACAACAGGAAGGCCCGCCGCCGCUUCUGGCGCGACAAAGACUUCGAUGUCGUCCUCGGCGCGUUCAGGGAUGCGGCGGCCGGCCGCCCCGUCGGAGACAUUACCGGCGAGGUCGGCUCUUCUCGUCGCCGCCACGGCCCACCCGCUCCCGGCCCUAGUACUCCGGCACAGCAGGUGCUGGUCCCGAUCCCGCCGGCGCAGGCCGCCCUCGCGCAAGACGGCGACCCCGACGACACCCCGGGGCUACUUGUCGUGCUGGCCCAGUCAGCAGACGAGGCGGCGGCGGUGCAGGCGCAGGAGGCGCAGCAUGGCGGCAACUGGUGGGACGACGACUUCAGCGACGACGGCAACGACGGUGGCGACGGCGGCGAAGGAGGCGCUGGAGGUAUGGCGCCGGUCGUCGACCUCACCGGCGCCAGCGACGAGGAGUAGCAGUAUAUAUACUGGGAAAAACUUAAGCCAAUUGGUCUGGAUGCAUUUGAUCCUUUGUCUCGUGAAUACCCACUAAUGCUUAACUGGCCAGAAACGGAAGGGAAAAAGCGAGACAACUAUGACAACAUACACGGGCGGGGUACCGGCAAUAUUGAAAACUGCAUUAGCGAAGAGUACAGACGUGCUAAGGUUGCACGUGAAGGGACUGUCCCAGAGGAAGAAACGAAGAAAACUAAACGGAAAGGUGGUGGCAGGAGUAGAAAGCCAAGCAUGUCGGCGGUUUCAUCGAACACGAAUUAUAGUAUGGACCGCGUGAUGACAUACAUAAAGCUGCUUCACAAGGAGGUUCUCAAUAUACCCGAAAGAUGUGCACAUAUGGUAAUGGAAAGGUUGAACACGGAAGGUGUGAUGUACAAAUCCAUUAAGAGGGACAACGUUGACGAAUUUGAUGAUGUAGGUGAAGGAGUUGGGAUGAAGAAUGGCAAGUACAAGUCAUCAAAAUAUUGGCCAGAUAUUGAAUCACCUACGGACGUAAAGAUAGGAACAUCUUUCACGGGUAUGAAUGAUACCUUCGUGCCCGUUGAUGACACGGGUGCUCCGGCGACGACACCGGGUAAAGGUGAUGCUACUGAUCCUUUCAUUAUAGACGAUAAUGGAAACUCUCCAUCUUCGGCAUCAACUGUACGGACAAAAGACUUUCCGCCUAUGUCCCGAACCCUGCAGAAUGCUGACAUUUCUGGUGAGUCUAUGGGUGGUUUGUCACCAACAAAGUCCGAAGAAACGUUUGAGAGUUUCCCGGCAAAGAGCAACAUAGGUAAUGGUGAAGGCAGUCAGGACAAUGAAGGUAAACGCAAACGAAAUCCGUCAAAAUAUUGUCAAUCCCCCUACGACCUUCUCAUUACCCGCAAGAAACGUGUUAAAAAAAAUCUGUUUGCAUCGUCACCACAUUCAAUUCUAGCAAGUUCUCUUAAUAUGACUCCGGAUCGCAUAGAGGCAGCCAAAGUUUUUGUUGAGACUCUUGCAUCGUCAAAGAAACAUGCGCACAAAACCGUGGUUAAUGUGCCGCCACCAGAUGGGGACAUAUGCACGCCAGCAAUGCUUCAUGAUGUCCUCACGUUUAAAUGGUUGAAUGGCGUUAUCAUCAAUGCAUAUUGUAAGCACCUAGAACACCGUGGUUUUGCUGAUCGUCACAUAUCAACAACGUGGUUCCCCAAAUUUAUGUUGAAUAGGGCAAGGGGAAAGACCAAGUCAGUAAAUAAUAUAAACUCAGAGAAGCUUACAAAGAAAACAAAAGUCUUCACUAGAGUAAUGGAUGAGUAUUUCGCACGGGACAAGAGAGCUGAAAUUUCUAAGGAUAUUAUGGAGGCCAACUCAACUCUUCAAGCAAAAAAAUAUCCAGAUGUCUCAUCGUGGCCAAUAAAUGAGUACGAAAUGCCGAGACAAAAAGAUGGAGUGUCAUGUGGACCUUUUGUGAUGCGGUGCAUAAAACACUGGGACGGAGAUCGCUGGACAUAUGAAUUUGACCAGGAAGAGAUUAAUGAGUAA